ensembl:snoRNA SNORD54 small nucleolar RNA U54
UGAGCAAUGAGGAUGACAUUUUGAUUGAUGAACCCUGACGACGUUGUACGCUAUUCUGAGCCACAGCU